UUCUGAACACUGAUUUAUAAAUGGAGCUGGUUGCCCUCAUUGAACUCUUCAACUGCACUCCCUGGUGAUCAGACAUGGUUCGUCUUAUUGGUUAAUCUGUGUGGAAUAUGCUCCAUUCCAAUGUUUCCGUUGAAUGUCCACAUCAGUUGACAUUGGAAGAGAAAAGGUGAAGAGCUACAACUUUUCCAAUGGGAUAAAGAUGCAUAAGAUACAAUGGAUAAGUAAAGCAUCAGCUGCCCAGUGUGCUGGAAGAGCUGGAAGAACUGGUCCUGGUCAUUGCUACUGUCUCACUCCUCUCCAGUCCUUAUUAAAACAUAUUUUGUGACUUCUCCUUGGCUAAAAUAUCUAAAUACCUGUUGACGGGGUUGUUGUUCUUAUGAAAUCUAUGGGUAUCAAUAAGGUAGGUCCUAUGCAAUCAUGCUCUGCUAGAUAAUAAUAUGAUUUUCAUGAUGAAGUACAAUGAUUUGUACCUCUGCAUCGUGAAUGUCCAUGCAGGACCUUUAUCUCAUGCAGCAUUGCUAAAUAAAACUGCCUCCGCAAGGUGUUGCUGCAUGCCCCUUUUUAUUUAUGCUUGUGUUUAUUAAGUACACCGUUCAUUCAUGACUACGCUCCUUAAGCUGCUACAUCUAUGAUGGUCAUUUUUUUUAACCUCACCAUUGGGUCUUUCAUUAUUUAGAGUUGGGCUUCAGAUUGAUUGCUUGUAUUCUUUGCUUAUUUAGGUUGCAAAUUUUCCAUUUGCAGCACAGCCUGAAACAACAGCCUUGCUUGAAGCAGAGUGCAGCCUGAAGGCUCUUGAAGCACUUGACAGUAAUGGGAAACUGACAUCCUUUGGGAAAGCCAUGGCUCGUUAUCCAAUGAGUUCCGCCAUUCGAGGAUGCUCCUAACUGUCAUUUAAAUCAUAUAGAUGGUUGAUAAUUGAGCUUGGAUUAAUUGUGGGGACUCCAUCUUUGAUGCCCUGAAGCUCUUUGCUUGUAUAAGCUUGCGUAAGAGCAUCCGUCGCCCGUGUUGCAGUUUGGUGCAUUGUUGGGAGGGGAAUGACCCUUCUGCUGUUGUCUCUGUUGCUGGCGGCGAGAGCAACGUGGUCUCCUCCUUUGAAUCUGUUGGGGCCCUUCUUUCGAUAUGUUACGUGAGGAUGCACUUAUGAGUACAUGGGCAUUACCAAUAAAUGCCUGCAAGGCGAAGAUAGCCUACGACUUAUCUAAGCCAAACAAGGCAUAAUAGCAGUUUGAAUAUCACCCUUCUUUCCUGUUUAUUACUCUGUAACUGGGUAGACAGUUUAUUUAGUCUUGCUCAGCGUAGGAAAACAAACUUUC